GGAGAACUAGGCUAAUGGUAAGUCAGCGGUCUUGAAAACCGCCGCCGUAAGGCUUGGGGGUUCGAGUCCCUCGUUCUCCG
rnacentral:tRNA from 2 species